ensembl:lncRNA
ACCUUCUCAUUGACAUUGUUCAUUUGUGAGAAUUGCGGUUUUGUUAGGGGAUUGCGUGUAAAAAAAAAAUGUGUCAAAUGUUGCUCUAAUUCUCUUGUGUUGUCUGUUCUGUCCAGCUAUGACCAAACCAUCUGCCCCUGUGGUCUCCCUGGUGUCUGUCCAAGACCAAAGUGGAAUCCUGAAAACCCCAGCCCAGUUAGGGAGGGAGGUCCUAGGCUCCUGAGACUCUACCUGUCCCCCUGGCCCUUCUCCACACCUCCACUCACCACACAACCUCACUGUAUCCAAUACACACACAACCAAGUGCUCCCAAGGCCCAAUCCAGCCCAACACACAAACAUCACACCCUCUGCCUUCCACCCAUAUACCACAACGUACACAUAAGCCUCCCAUCACUACUAAACACACAUUUCAGGAUACACUCAACUCCUCUAUCCCUAGUGUGCAAAUUCUCCAACAAAUGAACAACCCUGUGCAAUUGAACAUUUUGCAGGACCAAUCUCAGUCACCCAGUUCAAACAGUUCUCCUAAUCUCCACACUCCAUGCCGUCUCAGCGGUUCAAGCAGUCCAGACGGUCCAAACGGUCUGUUAAAGCAUGUUGGACCCCCAGCCAUCCUCUCCUUCUCUACUCAGGAAGCACUGGAGCAUGCCCAGUGGUGUGUUGUCCAGACCCAUUGGGAGCAGUUGAAGCAGAUAGUCUCUGUGUCGUAGAGAGGGGACAUUGCUGUGCCAACAGCCUGACAUGGACUGUAGGGAGUACGUUCAGAAACUGGAGGAGAUCAUGGAGCAAAAGGCUGUGUGCGUUCAGAGUCUGAGAGCUCUGCUACAGCCCUACCUCACCCAACUGAAAAAUCCUUGUUGAAAACUAUUAGUCAUUUUGAAUUCAUGGAGUGAAUUUCAAUUCAGUUCUGUUUCUGAAUUGAAAACUGAAUUGACCCCAAACCUGCCUGACGUACCUUAAAUUACACCAGGCAAAUCAUUUGUGUGAGUGUGGAGUGAGCUGUAUUUUUUUUAACAGUAGCCUACAGGAACAAACACUUAUAGUCAGUACCUUCAUGAUUAAGGCACUGUACUACUGUAUCACAAAUAAUGAGAUUCCCAUAGAGAAUGAUAGAGUCCUCUAGUGGCCAAAAGGCCAUAUUAGCAUGGACAGCACCAUUGAGGGCUUCCACCAUUAUAAUGUAGUCAACUGGGUUGGACUUUCAACUUCAUUGUCUAAUGCCUCCUGGUGACCCUGUUGGAGUCAUGUCCAACUAGGUAAUCAGGAGGGAUCAGCCAAUUGUGUACAUCAAAAUGGAGAUAGCCUCAAUGGUGCUGCCCAUGCUGUCACAGAUAGUGGCACAGAUACAAAGAUGUCCUCUAUCUCUAUGGAGAUUCCCAACCUCUGUCAUUUCAAGAAUUUUGCUACAAGUAACUUAUCAUAAAAAGUUAUGGAAUCAUUAUAAUGUUGUCUAAUGUUGUACUUUGGUAGUUUGGGUAGUCUGUCCACGAGAGAUUAAAUACACAUGGAAGAAAAAUCACUUUUUUAUGUGGUAGGCCUAUCCUCUGUGGUUGGCCUUUGAAAUGCAUACGCAAAGAAGAUGUCUGCCAGUUCUUCAUCUGUCUUGCCAACAGAUGGAGGUGCUGUGUGUGAAAAUCCUUGUUUUCAGAGUAGAAAAUGUAUUGCGCAAUUCACUCAAAAAGAAAAGUCACAUGCUUUGUAAAACAACCGGUGUAGACUAAAAAUGAAAUGUUUACUUACGUGUCCUUUUCCAACAAUGCAGAGUUAAGUUAUUAUAACAUUAUAUCAAAUAUUGAUAUGACAU